rnacentral:rRNA from 1 species
GACGAACGCUGGCGGCGUGCUUAACACAUGCAAGUCGAACGGAAAGGCCCUGCUUGCCGGGUACUCGAGUGGCGAACGGGUGAGUAACACGUGGGUGAUCCGCCCUGCACUUCGGGAUAAGCCUGGGAAACUGGGUCUAAUACCGGAUAGGAGCCAUUUUUAGUGUGAUGGUUGGAAAGUUUUUUCGGUGUAGGAUGAGCUCGCGGCCUAUCAGCUUGUUGGUGGGGUAAUGGCCUACCAAGGCGGCGACGGGUAGCCGGCCUGAGAGGGUGGACGGCCACAUUGGGACUGAGAUACGGCCCAGACUCCUACGGGAGGCAGCAGUGGGGAAUAUUGCACAGUGGGCGCAAGCCUGAUGCAGCGACGCCGCGUGGGGGAUGACGGCCUUCGGGUUGUAAACUCCUUUCGCUAGGGACGAAGCUUUUUGUGACGGUACCUAGAGAAGAAGCACCGGCUAACUACGUG